AUUGAACGCUGGCGGCAUGCUUUACACAUGCAAGUCGAACGGCAGCGCGGUCUUCGGCCUGGCUGCGAGUGGCGAACGGGUGAGUAAUGCAUCUGAACAUGCCCCGCAGUAGGGGAUAGCCCGUCGAAAGCCGGAUUAAUACCGCAUGCGACCUUAGGGUGAAAGCGUGUGCUCGUAAGUCCUCGCGCAAUUGGAUGGGCCGAUGCCGGAUUAGCUAGUUGGUGGGUGAAAGGCUUACCAAGGCGACGAUCCGUAGCUGGUCUGAGAGGACGACCAGCCACAGUGGGACUGAGACACGGCCCAGACUCCUACGGGAGGGAGCAGUAGGGAAUUUUGGACAAUGGGGGCAAGCCUGAUCCAGACAUGCCGCGUGCGCGAAGGAGACCUUCGGGUUGUAAACCGCUUUUGUUGGGGAAGAAAACCUAUGGGAUAAAACCAAGAGGGAAUGACGGUACCGGAAGAAUAAGCACCGGCUAACUACGUG
rnacentral:rRNA from 1 species